GCGGUCCAGGGUGACUUCCGGUUUAUUUCCGGGUUAUAACGAAGUACAAUAACAGCGGACUAAUUAUCAUUCCAGAUAUUAUUCAAAUAUGCUGAUGUUAUCUUCUGAGAUCAUUGCUUUCAAUGAAGAACAUCACUACAAUUGGUUGGACUGCUAGAUUGGUAGCAACGUGAUGGACAGCUAGUGCCUGUUGAAACACUAAUGUUGGUUGGGCAUCUAUUGCUUACUGGGCCGCUAUAUUGGAUGGACCAUACGUGUUGAUUGAACAAUUAUAAAUGGUUGGACCGGAAGUGUUGGUUGGACCACCAGUGUUGUUUGGACUGCUUGUUGGACAGAAUGUGUGAUGGACAACUAGUGUUAUUUGAAUCACUGUUGGAUAGACAGUUAUUGUUGUUUGGACAGCUAUAAUCAGUUGAUUUACAAGUUUUGGUUGAACAAUAUUUAAUGGAAGCACAAGUGUUGGUUGGACUGCAUUUAAUGGAUGGAUAUCUACUUGUGCCUGAUUUGACCAAAAUGAAGUGAUGAAGUGAUGAUUGAACUGCUACUGUAGGUUGUCAGCUGGUCAGUGCCAUGAUGUGAAUACUGAUGAUGCUGAUGAUGUGGAUACUGAUGAUGUGGAUGAUGAUGAUGUGGAUGAUGAUAAUGUGGAUGCCUCUGGAUUGAAAUAGCUGGACAGUGCCAUGAUGUGGAUACUGUUGAUACUGAUAAUGUGGAUACUGUUCAUACUGAUGAUAUAAUGCUGAUAAUGUGGAUAUUGAUGAUGUAGAUGCCCCGGAUGAUCAACCAGGGACUAAUAGAGCUGGACAGUGCCAUGAUGUGAAUACUGAUGAUACUGAUGAUGUGGAUACUGAUGAUGUGGAUGAUGAUGAUGUGGAUGAUGAUGAUGAUGUGGAUGCCUCCGUUGAUCAACCAGGGACUGAAAUAGCUGGACAGUGCCAUGAUGUGAAUACUGAUGAUACUGAUGAUGUGGAUGCUGAUGAUGUGGAUGCCUCCGUUGAUCAACCAGGGACUGAAAUAGCUGGACAGUGCCAUGAUGUGAAUACUGUUGAUGCUGAUGAUGUGGAUGUUGAUAAUGUUGAUGCCUCCGUUGAUCAACUAGGGACUGAAAUAGGUCAACUCGAAGCAGUCGUAAAUGCUGGGAUUGGCACAAACCAUGAAAAACGAACAGCCACAGUCAGAACACCUUGGAGCUAGGCUGAAGAAGACGUGGUAGAAAAUGGCCCUAAAAAGUGUUUUAAGCUUAAUACUCUUACCAAAAAUAAUUUAGAAUGUCUUGAACUUAUAAAGAAGUAUCCAAUUCUUGCCAGGCGAUCAAGGACAAUGGUGAAAGGGUACAUUAGAAAAAUGCAACUCGCCUUGCAAUAGGCUCAUCAAAAAGCAAACAAUUAAACAAAUAGAUACUUUAAAUUAUAGAAUAGACUAGAUUGCAUUUUGAUUUAAGCUUUAUAUCUGAAUACCAUCAGUGAUUGACAUGUUCUUUGGAUAUUGUUCUAUUAUUAUUUAUUUUUUAACAAUUAAAAUUUUGAAAUUGAAUAUGGUAAUAACUUGUCCUCAAUUGGAGGUGAUUUUGCUAGAAUUGUCCAUGAUGUUUGUGGUCAUUUACACUGCAGUGUAUUCAAUUGUUUUUUUGUUCCAUGGUAAAUAAUGGUGUGUGGUAUUGUUUUGUAUUGAAUGAUUCUGUCAUUUCUCAGUGAUGUGAUGUUUUUUGUGUUGUUGGAUAAAUUGAUGAAAUGCAAAUGAAAUAUCAUCAUGUAUGAACAUGUCAAACAAAAAUGUAUUAACUUUCUUCUGUUUGCUAUCAAAACGUUAAGUAUUUGUUUGGCUGAAUUGUAUCUAGAGUCAAUGAAUGAAGAUUUGUUUAUUACUGAAAAUUGAUAUGCAUUAUUUUUUGUAAAAGAAAAAUUUUCAGAAAAAAAGUAUCUUGGUAUUGUGAUAUGCCUUGGCACCUGUCAGGGCUGUGGGCAUCAUGCAGUCUUUUACCUAGGACAGUAACUAAAUCUUUUCAUAUUUAAAUAAAACUUGGUUAGGAUGUUGCCAGGGACAAUAUGCAUGUGUACAUCAAGGAGCAUAACUCUGGCUUUAGUUUGUAUUGAGUUAUGCCUCAUUUUCGAAGGAGAAAAAAACAGACGAGUGCUGGUGUUUUCUUCAUGGCGCUCUUGUUGACCUUGGCGAGAUCAAGGUUCAAUGUUGAAAUAAGAUAUGCCUUGUAAGUUAUUUUAACUAACAGGGGAAAGUCUGACAAUCAAGUUUAGACUUUAAUAGCUUUAAUAGUGAUUGUUGUGUAAAGUGGACUUUCAACAUAUUUUAUCAUAUAAAUAGAAGUAUGAAUUCUGCUCUUUGGAGCUAAAAAUUAUCUACUUUCCGGCUAUUGAUAAUUAUGUACUUAUUUCACAUAUCCGAGCAUGUUAUGUAUCCAUUUGUCUACAUUAUACUGAUUACUUAGUAUUGAUAUAUUCGUAUUUAAUACCUGUCUUGUAAUGAUCAGCUAUAUAAAUAGAUCCAUCCAUCUGAAGUUUCUGUUUAUUGACACUUAACUAUUACAGUAUUACAAUCGGACCAAUAAAAUACU